GGAGAGCAAGUCCCGGGAUGGAGAAUAGAUCCGAUGGACUCUAUAGACCUCGCGGGGAUGCAUGCGGCCGAAAGCAAACUCUGGCUUCUGGCCAGAAAUCCUCCAACCAGCGCAGGUGCAGGUGGACCAGUGCGGAAGGGGGGAUGUUUCCCCAAAGCAGCCAGGGGACGGGAGUGGGAAAUGUCGCCUUCCCUUCGGGAACGAAGUCUUGGGGACCAGUUCUACAAAGAAGCCAUAGAGCACUGCCGCAGUUACAAUUCCCGUCUCUGUGCCGAGCGCAGUGUUCGUCUUCCGUUCCUGGACUCACAGACUGGUGUUGCUCAGAAUAACUGUUACAUAUGGAUGGAAAAGAGGCAUCGAGGACCAGGACUAGCUCCUGGGCAGCUCUAUACAUAUCCUGCUCGGUGCUGGCGCAAGAAGAGACGUUUGCAUCCCCCUGAAGACUCCAGGCUGAAGUUGCUGGAGAUUAAACCCGAAGUUGACCUGCCUCUGAAGAAGGAUGGCUUCACAUCAGAAGGGACCACACUGGAAGCCUUGUUGCGUGGAGAAGGGCUUGAAAAGAAGAUAGAUACUAAAGAGGAGGAUACGCUACAAGAAAUCCAGCGGGUUUUGGAAAACGAUGAGAAUGCAGAUGAAGUGAACGAAGAGGAAGAGAUAGAAGAAGAUAUUCCAAAACGAAAAAACAGACCCCGAGGACGGGCCCGAGGCUCUGGUGGUGGUAGGCGAAGGAAUGAUGUUUCUUCUAUGGAUGACCAUGAUAAACCUUAUGUUUGUGACAUUUGUGGCAAGCGCUAUAAGAAUCGACCAGGCCUGAGCUAUCACUAUGCUCACACUCACCUUGCUAGCGAGGAAGGGGAUGAUGCUCGGGAACAGGAGACACGUUCACCACCUGUCCACAGAAAUGAAAAUCAUAAACCCCAAAAAGGACCAGAUGGGGCCAUCAUUUCCAAUAACUACUGUGAUUUCUGCCUUGGAGGAUCUAAUAUGAAUAAAAAAAGUGGACGACCAGAAGAGCUUGUUUCAUGUUCGGACUGUGGGCGUUCUGCUCAUUUGGGAAGAGAAAGCAGGAAGGAAGAAGCCGCUGCAGCAUUUCCCACGGAGGACUUGUUCGGUUCCACCUCGGAAAGCGACACCUCAACUUUUCAUGGUUUUGAUGAGGAUGAUUCGGAAGAGCCUGUCUCAAACUGGAGCAGCAGCUCCCACUCUGCAAAGAAAAAAGGCAGUUGCUAAAAUAACUAAAGCACACAAACUCUAUGAAUGACUUUUCUGCCCUUUCUGCUACUUUUAAACUCUUACUGUUGUUACUGCAUUUUUUUUAGAGCCACCUGUUUUCACUUUGGGGCGAAUACACUGAAAGCACAACAAACUAAUUUUUUUAAAAAGAAAACCUCUGAAAUCUUUUUUUUUUUUACAUUUAUUUUCAAUAUUUCCUUAACAGUGCAAAUGUGAAAUGUGGAUAUCCUUUUUUUAAGUAAUAAGUAAACAAUUAAAUAGAAGGGCGCUAAUUUUAUCAGCUUUUAAGAUAUAUAUAUAGGUAUAGAUAUAUACAUAUAUAUUAUACACAGGUACAACACAAAAUCGGAAGGGUUGGACACCAGCAGGUACCUAUCUCAAAUAGUGUUUUAAAUAUUUAUUUCUAUAUUCUAUAUAUUAUUAGAAGAAAGACUUGAGAUUAAGGCAAAAAAAAAAAGAGCAUGAAUUCUAUGCGAUAAUCUAAUUGUUAAAAAAAAAGAGAAACAGUGAUAGUAUGAAUAGUUCAAAAUGAAAAGGAAAUCCAAAUGUUUGCAAGUGUGAAUUUUGCACUGCAAAAAGAUUGCAUUUAUUGUAGCACACUGGAUUUUUUUUCCUAUUCCCCUUUUGUACUACUGCUAUGUUCACCGUUAAGAAUAUACCAAACACAAGGAUGAUUGACAAAAUCACAAACACAAAUUUCCUGCCAUCUUCAUUUUAAUGUCUUCAUCUUUCCAAGUUUAGCAUCAUUUUACCAGGCACUGCUUUUUUGGAUCUAUUUUGCUUGUUCUUUCCAUCACCAUUUUAGAAAGGACUUUCUGAGCACAUCUGUGGAAUACACCCAUUAAUUCUAUGGAUGAAAUAAAUAAUGUGAAUCUUGAAAGGAACGGAAAGAAAAGAAAAAUAUACCUCAUGUUCCUUAUUUUAUUUUUUAAAAAUAAUAUUAAAAACCCAUUUAGUCUUAUUUUUGAUAUUUUUCUUGAAAUAAACCAAAGCAAUACUCACUAAUUUUCAAAGGGCAGCAGAGAAUACCGAAACUGAUUUGCUAUUCCAGCAACAUAAACUUGAACAGCAGGAUUAAAAAGAUAACACCCCUGUGCUUACUUGGAAUCUGAAUCCUUCAUGGAAUCUAUGGAAGAAACCAACCAACUAAGAGUGUUCAAAAUGCUCUGAUCUUUCUCACAUUGCCUGAUCCUGUCUCACCUGUGUCUUGUUCCCACACGGGAGUUUGGACUGUGGAAUGCCUGCUGGCACUUGCUCAGAGAAGUUUUGGGGGUUCCCUAAGCUUGUGCAAUACAAAAAAAAACUUACAUUUUUUUUAAAAAAAGAAAAAUAUCUUUAAAGUGUUGUGCGAGUUUGUUUGUGUAUGCGUGUGUAUGCGUGUAUAUCCAAGUCCAGGUCAAACUGGAACUGUUCAGCAGCAGAAAUGACUGAAAACAACAAACUAAUGGAGAAAAAACUUGACAUAAACUAGAACAAGUUAUUUUAUUUAUUUCAAUAUUUAAGAGAGAAAAGUAGUGCUGGCAUUGCACAGUAUUUUUGUUUAAAAUGGAUUUUACUUCAGCAUUGAAAGGCUUUUUUUGUGAAGGUGGGGCUUUUGCAAAGUGCUCAAUGCAAGAUAAAGGCUGUUUAGUUGCAGGAUAAUUUUUUAAAGUUAUGAAAAUAAAGAUAAACUUUGCUCUCUCUUAUACUUUAAAUAUGCCAUUCAUAGACCAUGCUGGGGUUUUCAUUUUUCAAAGUGGAUGUGGUAAGUUUAAAUUAUUCUGGAUUAUUUUUUGAAUGUCUGCUAAUGUUUUCUACUUAGCUAUACUAAAUUAGACAAAAACCCUAGUCUAAACAAAAUAUUUUGAAAAGCAAAUGCUGACUUCUGGGCAGGUGUUUAAAUCAUAGAAUAAAAAAAAUGUAGACAUUAGCAAUUAUGCUACUGAAGCUAGAUGUUUUUAAGGAAAAGAAAUGCUGUUUUCUGUAACAUUUUCACCUUAUGCUAACAGCUUCUUGUGAAAUAAAUCAACAAAAUGUGAACAACUCAACAUUUAAUUACUGGAAUAGUAUAUUUGGAGAAAAGCCUAUACCUCUAAUAGUAUUAUAUGAAGCAUUUGAAAGAACAUUUGGGGACAUUUAGAAUAUUAAUUUUCUUUUUCUAGAAAUUAUAAAAUUGGAUGCAGUCACAGACCAUAGCUGUUCUCUACUAAAGGUUUUUUUAGAACCAAGGUAUGAUCCAUGGACAAUUGGUGCUUAUAAAGUAUGUGUCAGAAAUUCUGCAGGAGACUUCCUAUUAAAAAGUAACACGAGAAUAGGAUUAUUCUAAUCAUUUUGCUUGGAGGUGCAUGUAAAUAAUGUAGCAAUAAAUGAUCCUGGAAGGAAUUAUCUGGAUAAAGUUUCCCUCUAAAUUAAUUAUGCCAGAUGAUGUAAAAUAAUCCAUUGUGUGCGUGGACCAGCAAUACCUUGGAACUGGAUGGUGCAAAGGAAUUGUAUGCGUGCUUGCCUGGAAGCAGAUUUUGCAGAGUUUUAGUGUGACUUAUUCCUUAAUAAGUGUGCAUAGAAGUGUUUAAUCUGGUGUGUAGUUAAAUACAGUAAUCCUUGGAUAAAAUCUGUUUGCCAUAAAAUACAGGUAAAAAAAAACAUGAUAUGCAUUUCUAAAACCUCAGUCAUCACUUUAUGCAUGCACAACUCCCUUUUAUAUAUGCAUCAAAUCCUAUUAGCCAAUAACAGACAUUCAGGUAUAAUAGACCCUCAUUCCUCACAUUAGACUAUUAAAUUAAAAACUUAAUGUCAUAUAUUCUUUUAGGGUGUAAAUGUGACAUCUAUUCUCUGAAUUUCUGGGAGCAAUCCCUAGUUCACUGCUGCACACUCACUGUAUAAUUCUUUUAAGACUUUUUCAAGAGUCCAAGAAUGUGAAUCCAUAGUUAAGUAAAUUAAAGUUGCAUGGCAGUGGUGCUAUAAAUUUUGCAUAUCCUGUUGUCUCUCAGGGAUGCUGGAUAUUAGGGCAAUGCAGAAACUAGCCCAGAAGAAGCACUAUAUACAUUCUAGUCAUGGAAUACAAUAUGAGAAGUUAAUGUCCCAGGAUAUUGCACACUAAAAAUAAUGAAAUUCCUGUUAG